UAAUAUGACAAAUUGAAAAUUCCUUUAAAAGUCAGUUAACCAAUGUGUGUAACUUGAGAAUGGGCUUCUGCUUUUGCAGUUUGCCACAGUGAACGUGAUUGGUUCAGUCUGAAAUCUAUGCUUCAGUAAAUAAACUGUUGGCACCUCCAUUGGUUAAGAUCAAGAAGCUUCUGAAUUUAUUAACUGGCAUGUAUCCCUUAACAUUACAACGAUUAAUAUUUCUGAAAGCAAUAAUUUCCAUUCCUGCUGACUUAUCAACUCUAAUGUUGCAUAUCUGAAGAUCACAAAAUGCUAGCUUGCAUAUAAAUACUGGCAUUGUGGCAUAGAGCAACUAAGUAAUUUUAAUCUUUGCAGGGUAUUUCUCUUCCAG
rnacentral:misc_RNA from 1 species